AACUUUGCGCAGUGGCAAUAUCGUAAUCAAUGAAGUUCUACUGAGAUGCGAUUAUUGCUAGUUGAAAGCUAAAUGUUAUUAAUGAACUAUUCGCCAAAUGAGGUAUUAAAAGACUUCCCCGUAUGCCACAAAGC
rnacentral:snRNA from 13 species